rnacentral:rRNA from 1 species
UACGUAGGGUGCAGGCGUUUAAUCGGAAUUACUGGGCGUAAAGCGUGCGCAGGCGGUUUGCUAAGACAGGUGUGAAAUCCCCGGGCUUAACCUGGGAACUGCGCUUGUAACUGGCAAGCUGGAGUGUGGCAGAGGGGGGGUGGAAUUCCACGUGUAGCAGUGAAAUGCGUAGAGAUCCGGAGGAACCCCAGAGGCGAAGGCGGCCCCCUGGCUCGUAGCC